UCGGAUGUCGUUCAAAGGUAGGAUUCUAGGUUGUUACCCUAGCGAUGCAGGUUCGAGUCCUGCCAUCCGAGCCA
rnacentral:tRNA from 1 species